rnacentral:lncRNA from 1 species
UCGAUUUUCAUGAGUUUUUACUUUGUUUUGAAGAUUUUCAAGAUUUGAGCAAAGUUUUGGAGUUUUGAGGUUCAAGGGAACUCAAUCCCUCCCAUCUCCAAGUUUAGGUCGUCUCUCUCUCGAUCUCCACGAGGUAAGAGCCGAUCUUAAGCUCAUUGCAUGUUUUAAGUAGGUUUUAAGUGGAUCUAUGGGGUAGAAUGCAUGUUUAGCUCAUGGUUAGGUUUAUGGGUUUUAUAUGUGUUUAUGAACAAUGUGAGUUGCUUGUUGUGUUGUAGUUGGGGUUUUUGUUGGUUUGAUGCCCCUAGGAACUUGUAUGCUUGUUUGUGUGUGAUUGGGAAUGUUGUAGAAUAGGUUUAUGCUUGAUUGGAUAGUUUUGGAGGCAAAUGUGCAUAGAAGAGCUGAGUU